ACCAUCAUAGGAAAAGUUCUAGCACCCAAAAUGGUUCUUUGGUGGGCGACCCUGAAGGAUUCAUUGUAUAAG